UGGAGAGGUUGUUUGCUAGACGUUUUGAAGCUGCACUGACGAUUACUAAAUUCUCAAAUUAUCCUGAAGUUCAAGCAGGAGAUUACAUCCAAAAUGUCGGGUAUUUUGAGAGGAGUCAUCACCAGAUCGGUACCCACCGUGAGGUCCGUGAUCACCCAAACACGUGGAAUUAGAGCAAGCAAACCAGAAACACCUCUUACAACCGUGGAGAAUGUAACGGGAAUAACAAUCAUUUCACUGGGAUGCUUAGCUGUACCCUGCUGGAUCAUGACACAUCUGGAGGACUACAAAGCUCGUGAUUAGGGAGAAGCAACGAGCGAGUCUUAACGUGAGUGUCUGCGAGUCUUCAUGAUGCACCAUUGAAAAGUACCAACAAACAGAAUUAGCCAGCAUAAGGACGUGGCUUUAUCAAGUGCUGCUUUGUCUUCACCAGAAGCAUUGUUCCAGCAAGCAACAGUUAGGCUGUGGAUUCCCUUGUGAAUUUGUCUUCAUUUCUGCACCUGUAUUAACAUUCUUGGAGAAGUUUCACAUUGCCGUGUAGUUCAGGACGCUUAACAUCUCCAAGACUAGCCAACAUCCUGGACACCAUGAAACACAGAAAACUAAAAAAUGCUGACUCUUCAGCUCUUACUUUUAUAAGCAACUAAACAAUGAUCACAUCUAAUUCCGAAUGUAUAAUAGGAGGACCAUGUCCUACAUUUUCAGAGCAGUAUUAUUUAAGUUCAAACGACAGAAUCAUGUUUCAAAAUCGAAUCUCUUCAAAUCUAUUUUGUUUUCAAUUUACCAUAAAUCUUUCUGAUACCUCCUUAUACAAUUGAAACAUUCGUGUACUUAAGUACAUUUCUGUCACAUGCACAAAGUUCAUGGUCUGUUUUCUCUUAAACAAUUGUUUCGAAAAACUACAACCAAAACAGAUCUGCUAAGCACAAAAAAUCUUGCUGAGAAGAAAUAUGUUGUAAUCCCUUUCAACGGGACACAAUAAAUGCAUUGCCCUGUCGCUGUUUUCAUGCACUUUUCUUAGCAGUAGCUAUUGCUUAGUAGAUUUUUAUAUUAAAGUUAUAGCAAUUGUAAAUGUUGACAUUGUAGUUUAACCCUCCUACUGUUAGAUCAUUUAAAUAUCAUCUGCCAUGGUUUGGAAUGUUGAAUGUACAUGUACAAUGUACUGUGUGUUUGUGUACUAACGACUUCACUGUACACAACUGUGUAACCAUUAACAACCUGUGCAGUUAAAUGGUCUAUACAUGCAAAUGGUUGUUCAAUUCCCUUGAAAAUUACAACAACAGACAGUAGGAGGGUUAAUGAAAGGAACAUGACCAUUAUUGGAUAAUGAUUUUGCAGAACAUCUACAAAACGAUGAUACACUUCAUUGUUCAGUGCUUUGUCAGUCACAUUCACAAAAGGAAGUUUAAAUAUAUCAAGGAUAAUCUUAUCAAAUUCACUGUUUAUUUUCAAAUUCAUCAUGUUUUGUACACAAUUGUGCACAUCACACAAAAGGAAAACAAAAUCAUUAAAAGAAUUGUGUUCUUAGAUUGAAUAAAAUGAAAGAAGGUUAAAAGUAAAUAUCACAAGUUAAAGACAUUCAAGCAAAUUGUUAAUUGGAAUAGACCUAGUACAGAUCAUGUUAAUGUGUAAUUUCAUAGUUAUAAAGAUUGUGGAGACUCGCUUUGCUGUGUGGUUAAUUGACAUAAGUUUGCAUGAAAUUAUUGUUUGAGUAAAAUUAUUAAAGGAUGUGUGUGUAUGAAAA